AGGAGGUCGAGACAUGACGUAAAAUACGUCUUGCCCUCUCAACUUGUUUGUGUUUGAAAAUGUACGUCAGAUGCAGUAUGUUUAUUUACAAGAUUUAGACUUCUUUUGUGUCUUAGGUUCGACUCCUAAUGGGGACAACGCAUAUUUCACCAAAAAAAAAUUGUUUGAAGAGAAAGUGUCCAUCUCUACCAGGGUCUGGCAAGUGAAAAUAGCAGAUAACCAACUGUUGUUUUACUCGUGAAGUUGAACAUGCAUUUGGUAACAAGCCCCUUGUUAGAAAAUGUAACAUUUUCUACAUUGUCAUCAUGAAAAAGAUUUUGUUGGAUUGAAGUUGAAUCCGCGCUGAAUGUCUGCUUGGAUCCUUCAAGGACGUUUCAAACUCUGUGGGGGUGAUGGAACUCUGUGAAGAAUAAAGAGUGACUGUUCUUCCGUAUUGUACCCCCUCUGCCUCGGUUAUGUUUUUUUUAGCUCCUCAAUGCUCAACAUUUCCCGACAUUGCCACCGUCAAUGAUUGGGAGCUCUGUAGCCCCCUGGCCUCUCACUGGCAACUAAAAUCCAAACAUUUUUACCGGCUUACUGGAAACAAAAACAACACACUAGUAGAACAGCGCAACUGAUGCAUAUAGUCUGUAACUCAAAUUGUCUUAGUUCCUACAGAUGUAAUCGAGGAUCUCUGCAUGUUAUUAAGGAAUUCAGUACAGACAAAAAUAAAUCCUAUAAAUUUCUACAGGGUUAUCACAAGAAAUAAAUCAUUCAGGAUUUCUUUUGCCAGAAGCAAUGCCAAUAAUUCUGUUGAAUUGUACAAAGUAUUUCAUGCUGAAUUUCAGUAUUAAAAUGUUUUUCCUACUGAAAUUAAUUAAUGAAUUGCCUACAUAACUUAAGAAAAAUUCCAAAAAUCCUGUAGUAUUUCUAUAUUGUAGUAGGAAUUACGGAGAAAGAACCUAAAGAAUCAGUAGGAUUACUGCUAUUGUUUAAUAAAAAAAAACAUUUAAAAAAAAAGCAGCAAAAAAACAAAAAGAGCAAACCUGAGAAUGACAUCAACCAGCAACAAGGAGUUUUGACUGUACAGGGGAGACUACCAUUCAUGAUGAGGACCAUGAUUAAUAAUAGUUUUCGAACAAUUAGUUUUAACUUUUGGAAUACAAAAUUCACAAACUCUUCUAAGAUUAUAUGGGACAGAAGUAGUUUCCAGUAAUAAGUAAUUACCAGAGUGCCAAUCAAAUUUAACCAGGAAUACACACAUGUCCCACAAACAACUUUAUGCGUGGCAACAGUGUCAAAGGGAUGGGGCUUUAGCAGAACAGUCCACUGUCUCUUUCUACCACGAAAGUGUUAAUAUAUUUUUUACAAAGUGCCUGCCUGUAAUAUGACAUACAGUAAUUAAACACAAAAAUAAAAGCAAAAAAAAAAAACCAAAAAAAACCAAACAGAAACAAAUUUACUCUCCUGUAAAAAUAAUCUGAUAAUUUUAUAGGAUCUUAGAAUUAGUAAUAAAAUAAAUAAAUAAAUAAAUAUAAAAAUAUUUUUGUUUUAUUUUAUUUGAAAAAUAUUUAACAGCGAUAGAGAUCGCCCAUGAUAGGAUAUCUAAAAAUGAUCCCAUGAUCUGCUAAUGCUAAUGCAUGAUUGAUUUCAGCUGGCAAAUCAUUCCACAUUUUGAAGUUUGCUGGUGUUUAAUAUUUUUCUGAAUCUGUUCUAGCCUUCAAAAUGUUUGAAAUAUAGUUUAUCCAUAUGUCUAAAUUAUAUUUCUGCAUUGUCCAAAAUAUAUGAAUCAUUACAAUUCAA
rnacentral:lncRNA from 1 species